GACGAACGCUGGCGGCGUGCUUAACACAUGCAAGUCGAACGGAAAGGCCCUGCUUUUGUGGGGUGCUCGAGUGGCGACCGGGUGAGUAACACGUGAGUAACCUGCCCCUGACUUUGGGAUAUCCUCAGGCAACUGGGGCUAAUACCGGAUAGGAGCUCCUGCUGCUUGGUGGGGGUUGGAAAGUUUCGGCGGUUGGGGAUGGACUCGCGGCUUAUCAGCUUGGUGGUUGGGUAGUGGCUUACCAAGGCUUUGACGGGUAGCCGGCCUGAGAGGGUGACCGGCCACAUUGCGACUGAGAUACGGCCCAGACUCGUACGGGAGGCAGCGGUGGAGAAUGGUGCAUAAGGGACUGAGGCCUGAUGCGGUAACGCCGCGUGCGGGAUGACGUGCUGCGGGUUGUAAACCGCUGUCGCCUGUGACGAGACGUGAGUGACGGUAAUGGGUAAAGAAGCACCGGCUAACUACGUG
rnacentral:rRNA from 1 species